rnacentral:rRNA from 1 species
AGAGUUUGAUCCUGGCUCAGAACGAACGCUGGCGGCGUGCUUAACACAUGCAAGUCGAGUGCGCGGUUGUAGCAAUACAACUGGCGCACGGCGCACGGGUGCGUAACACGUGGGCAAUCUGCCCUCCGAUGGGGAAUAACCCCGCGAAAGCGGGGCUAAUUCCGCAUAACAUUCCCUGGACUCCGGUUCGGGGAUUCAAAGCAGCAAUGCGUCGGAGGAGGAGCCCGCGCCCGAUUAGCUAGUUGGUGAGGUAACGGCUCACCAAGGCAAUGAUCGGUAGCUGGUCUGAGAGGAUGGCCAGCCACACUGGAACUGAGACACGGUCCAGACUCCUACCGGAGGCAGCAGUGGGGAAUCUUGCGCAAUGGGCGAAAGCCUGACGCAGCGACGCCGCGUGGGGGAUGAAGCUUUUCGGAGUGUAAACCCCUUUCGACCGGGACGAAUGCCCGCAAGGGAGUGACGGUACCGGUAGAAGAAGCCCCGGCUAACUACGUGCCAGCAGCCGCGGUAAGACGUAGGGGCCAGCGUUGUUCGGAAUUACUGGGGUGUAAAGGGUUCGUAGGCUGUGUGGCAAGUCCGCAGUGAAAUUUCUGGGGUUUACUCAGAGGCUGCUUCCGAACUG